UUGGAGGGCAAGUCUGGUGCCAGCAGCCGCGGUAAUUCCAGCUCCAAUAGCGUAUAUUAAAGUUGUUGCAGUUAAAAAGCUCGUAGUUGAAUUUCGGGAUCAAUAUAUCGGUCGUGCCUUGGUACGUACUGGUAUCAUUGGUUUCUCCUUUCUGACGAACCAUGAUGUCAUUAAUUUGGUGUUAUGGGAAGUUAGGACUGUUACUUUGAAAAAAUUAGAGUGUUUAAAGCAGGCUCACGCUUGAAUACAUUAGCAUGGAAUAAUGAAAUAGGACGUUCGAACCUAUUUUGUUGGUUUCUAGGAUCAACGUAAUGAUUAAUAGGGAUAGUUGGGGGCAUUAGUAUUCAAUUGUCAGAGGUGAAAUCCUUGGAUUUAUUGAAGACUAACUACUGCGAAAGCAUUUGCCAAGGAUGUUUUCAUUAAUCAAGAACGAAAGUUAGGGGAUCGAAGACGAUCAGAUACCGUCGUAGUCUUAACCAUAAACUAUGCCGACUAGGGAUCGGAUGAUGUUAAUUUUUUAAUGACUCAUUCGGCGCCUUACGGGAAA
rnacentral:rRNA from 1 species